ACUCCUGCGGGAGGCAGCAGUGGGGAAUUUUGGACAAUGGGCGAAAGCCUGAUCCAGCAAUGCCGCGUGAGUGAAGAAGGCCUUCGGGUUGUAAAGCUCUUUUGUCAGGGAAGAAACGGUGAAAGCUAAUAUCUUUUGCUAAUGACGGUACCUGAAGAAUAAGCACCGGCUAACUACGUGCCAGCAGCCGCGGUAAUACGUAGGGUGCAAGCGUUAAUCGGAAUUACUGGGCGUAAAGCGUGCGCAGGCGGUUUUGUAAGUCUGAUGUGAAAUCCCCGGGCUCAACCUGGGAAUUGCAUUGGAGACUGCAAGGCUAGAAUCUGGCAGAGGGGGGUAGAAUUCCACGUGUAGCAGUGAAAUGCGUAGAUAUGUGGAGGAACACCGAUGGCGAAGGCAGCCCCCUGGGUCAAGAUUGACGCUCAUGCACGAAAGCGUGGGGAGCAAACAGGAUUAGAAACCCUAGUAGUCCC
rnacentral:rRNA from 1 species